rnacentral:rRNA from 1 species
AAAGAUUAAGCCAUGCAUGUCUAAGUACAUGUGAGUACACGAAACCGCGCAAGGCUCAUUACAACAGCUAAAAUGUAUACGGUGAGAUACCAUUAAAUGGAUAUCUGCGGUAAAUCUGGAGCUAAUACAUGCAAAAAAGAUUGUAUAAUUUUAUUAUAUGAUUGCAGUUAUUAGAUUAAAACCAAUGGGCUCUGCCCAUAUAUGUUAACUCUAGAUAAUGCGUUACCAUACAGAWWUAUUUCUGAUGGAAUGCCGUAUUUGUAUCUGCCCUAUCAACUAUAUAACCGUGUAUUGAACGGUUAUGGUGUUGCCGGGUAACGGAGAAUUAGGGUUCGUCUCCGGAGAGAAUGCCUUAAAAACGGCUUUCACAUCCAAGGAAGGCAGCAGGC